GAUGAACGCUGGCGGCGUGCCUAAUACAUGCAAGUCGAGCGAAUGGAUUGAGAGCUUGCUCUUAUGAAGUUAGCGGCGGACGGGUGAGUAACACGUGGGUAACCUGCCCAUAAGACUGGGAUAACUCCGGGAAACCGGGGCUAAUACCGGAUAACAUUUUGAACAGCAUGGUUCGAAAUUGAAAGGCGGCUUCGGCUGUCACUUAUGGAUGGACCCGCGUCGCAUUAGCCAGUGGGUGAGGUAACGGCUCACCAAGGCAACGAUGCGUAGCCGACCUGAGAGGGUGAUCGGCCACACUGGGACUGAGACACGGCCCAGACUCCUACGGGAGGCAGCAGUAGGGAAUCUUCCGCAAUGGACGAAAGUCUGACGGAGCAACGCCGCGUGAGUGAUGAAGGCUUUCGGGUCGUAAAACUCUGUUGUUAGGGAAGAACAAGUGCUAGUUGAAUAAGCUGGCACCUUGACGGUACCUAACCAGAAAGCCACGGCUAACUACGUGCCAGCCGCCGCAGUAA
rnacentral:rRNA from 1 species